UUUACCGUAAAGAGGGGGAGCCUAAGGUAGGACUGGUGACUGGGGUGAAGUCGUAACAAGGUAGCCGUACCGGAAGGUGUGGCUGGAUCACCUCCUUUUAGGGAGACCUACCCAUUGAAGAAUCGAAAGCCGAAGGCGAAUAGAGAAUCAAAUGGUCUACUCUAGGUCGGUCGAGAAUUGGUCAAGUCUCUUUCAAAGUAUUAUAUUUCCGGUGAUUCCCAGCAACUAGGAAAGACCUAGACUGCUGGUGAGAACCAGCCAGAACCUUGAAAAAA
rnacentral:misc_RNA from 1 species